GGCUUGCAGACUGCAGAUGAGAGACUCGGGAGCAGAGACAAUUUUAACUUAGCCAUCCCUAAUUUAUCUCAAGCUUUUUCAAUUCAUCUUCACUGCUCUGUGCACAUUGGAACACCAGAUUGUCAACCCCUGGGAACAGAAUGCAACCAGGGAACUAGAGAGCUGUCACAUCCUGAGAAAUAUUUAAAUUGUGCCGAUUUUCUUCUGGAGUGCUGAGCAGAGGGAAUGAAACUCUCCAUCAAGUCCUAGCUUUGCGGGCAAUAGAUCAGAGGAUACUGCCAGUUUUUCUAAUGGAUUAUUGUUAUCGGGCAGGUUCUUCCUGAAGAGGAUCCAGCCUCCUGGGGACAGACUAGACCACAACAUACUUUCCUUUUGAGUAAUAAUGCAUAUGGAGCAUGGAGGUCAGUGUGGACACUCUCCAGAAGCUCACUAGGUGACUGCAAAUGUGUGGAGUACCAUGGCAGAGUUUACAUUGCGACCAGUUACCAAAGCUAUUUCAAACAUCACUGUCCUGUAUUGCAAUCUUCUCUAGACUUAUCUUUAGUAAUGCAUCUCCUUGAUGCAACAGCAUUGUUACUGGCCCAUUGUCUUUAGGUGAAUCCUUACAACAUGAGGGGUGAAUCAAUGUCAGUGUAGCCUCCUGUUUGCUUAGUACUGUAUUUACUGUGUGGAGAAAAGGACUAGUGUUCUGGUCAUGCCUGCCAUAAUUGUAAUUACUUGACGUAGUUUUACUGAGCAAAGUUUACUCCAAGUUUCUUGAUCUGAAAACACUCUUUUCAUGUGCUCAUAAGAUGAGCACAUCUUAUUCAGUAAGAGUUUCAUUACUAAAGCAGUAGAUUCAGUAGUCAUGGAUUUGAUGAAGACCAGUGCUGUCUAAAAGACAAGUUGUAUGCUUUAGCAAAAUGUGUUUAUCAACUUAACGUCUGUACUGUUUCCAGAAUGUUGAGAAGUAUACUGAGUAUCUUGAUGAAAUGAAUUUGUAUAAUGAGAAAAGAAUAUCAGUAUGGUACUGUUUAAUUAACAACAACGAAGAAGACAAAAAAAAAAUUUUCCUCCAGAUAUGACCCAAUUUCCACUUUUGGAGUAGAUGGCAGAUAUUUUAAAUGGGUGCUGUAGUUUUUAUGCUGAUGUAUUAGCUGAUUACUUAAAGAAUGCGUUCAUUCAUAUGAUACAUUCCAUUGCUUUGUCAUGUUUUGUCAAUUUGAGUUGACUUAUAAUGUGUGCUGUGUAACAUGAUGUGAUACCACAUCAUUUGACAUAAAUUGGCAUAAUAUAAUUUAGCAGGUUAGAAAAGUAAGGUAAACAAAAUUGUGUCUGUGAUGAAAUUCAUGUUGCUCAUUUGAG